GUGCUCGCUUCGAGAGCACAUAUACCAACAUUGGAACAAUACAGAGACAUGGCCCCUGCACAAGAAUGACAUGCAAAUUCAUGAAGCACUCCAUAUUUUA
ensembl:snRNA U6 U6 spliceosomal RNA